UGGUGUUAUUCAACUAUGGAGUU
rnacentral:siRNA from 1 species